rnacentral:rRNA from 1 species
AGAGUUUGAUCAUGGCUCAGAUUGAACGCUGGCGGCGUGCCUAACACAUGCAAGUCGAGCGGUAACAGGCGUAGCAAUACGUGCUGACGAGCGGCGAACGGGUGAGCAAUGCUUCGGAAUCUGCCCAAUGAUGGGGAAUAACCAGUCGAAAGAUCGGCUAAUACCGCAUACGCCCUACGGGGGAAAGCGGGGGUCGCAAGACCUCGCGUCGAUGGAUGAGCCGAAGUCGGAUUAGCUAGUUGGUAGGGUAACGGCCUACCAAGGCGACGAUCCGUAGCUGGUCUGAGAGGACGACCAGCCACACUGGGACUGAGACACGGCCCAGACUCCUACGGGAGGCAGCAGUGGGGAAUAUUGGACAAUGGGGGCAACCCUGAUCCAGCGACGCCGCGUGUGUGAAGAAGGCCUGCGGGUUGUAAAGCACUUUUAGUGGGGAUGAAAAGUACAUCGCUAAUACCGGUGUAUCUUGACCUAACCCAAAGAAAAAGCACCGGCUAACUCUGUGCCAGCAGCCGCGGUAAUACAGAGGGUGCGAGCGUUAAUCGGAAUUACUGGGCGUAAAGCGUGCGUAGACGGUUAUUUAAGUCGGGUGUGAAAGCCCCGGGCUCAACCUGGGAAUUGCAUUCGAGACUGAAUAGCUAGGGUACGGUAGAGGGAAGCGGAAUUUCCGGUGUAGCGGUGAAAUGCGUAGAUAUCGGAAGGAACAUCAGUAGCGAAAGCGGCUUCCUGGACCAGUACCGACGUUCAGGCACGAAAGCGUGGGGAGCAAACAGGAUUAGAUACCCUUGUAGUCC